rnacentral:rRNA from 1 species
CAGUAGCGUAUAUUAAAGUUGUUGCAGUUAAAAUGCUCGUAGUUGAAGUUCGGAUGCAGCAGAGCUUGGAAACGCUGUUAUGGUGCUUCCGUUGCUUUUGCUUGUCCACAGUGCGUUGCAAGUACGUAUGUGCUUGUGCGUGCAUUUUACUUUGAGAAACAUAGGGUGUUCCACGCAUGUUACGGCAUGAAUAUUCCAGCAUGGGACAAUCUGGUACGACUUCCAAUCUGCCAUUUUGGUUCGUAGGUUGGAAGUAAUGAUUAAUAGGGACUGUCGGGGGCAUUGGUAUUUGACUGUCAGAGGUGAAAUUCUUAGAUUCGUUGAGGACCAACCACUGCGAAAGCAUUUGUCAAGGAUGUCUCCAUUA